rnacentral:rRNA from 1 species
UACAGAGGUCCCAAGCGUUGUUCGGAUUCACUGGCGUAAGGUAGGCGUGAUGCGGUCGGGUAAGUCUGAUGUGAAAUCUCACAGCUUAACUGUGAAACUGCAUUGGAUACUAUUCGGCUUGAGAGUUGGAGGGGGACUGGGAAUUCUUGGUGUAGCAGUGAAAUGCGUAGAUAUCAAGAGGAACACCAGUGGCGAAGGCGAGUCCCUGGACAACUUCUGACGCUGAGGCACGAAAGCUAGGGGAGCAAACAGG